rnacentral:rRNA from 1 species
AGGAAUGUAUAGCAAUAGCUAGUUGCAUCAUUUUAAAUAUGAUGCAAGAUUGACUAUGUUGAAUAAAAUUCUAGGUAGAGUUAUGAUAAUGACAUUUUCUACCUAUGUGUCUUGACCAAAUUACGUGCCAGCAGUCGCGGUAAUACGUAGAAGACUAGUGUUAUUCAUGUUUAAUCGGUUUAAAGGGUACCUAGACGGCAGAUCAAGCUUUCCGAGCAGAAAAAAAAAAAGGACUAAUCUGCUAGAGUUACUUACGAGGGGGUUUUAAAGUACUGCUGGUGUAGAGAUGAAAUUCUGUCAUACCUUUUUUCGAAAGAAAAAUAACGGCACAGGUAUAGGCGAAGGCAUCCCCUUAUGUGAUAACUGACGUUGAGGGACGAAGGCUUUAUAUAACGAACAGGAUUAGAUACCCUAUUAGUGGAAGCAGUAAAUGAUGAAUGUCAUAGAUUAGAUUAGUUUAUUCUAUAAAUGAAAGUGUAAGCAUUCCACCUCAUGAGUAAUUUGGCAACAUUGGAAUUGAAAUCAUUAGACCGUUUCUGAAACCAGUAGUGAAGUAUGUUGUUUAAUUUGAUGAUCCGCAAAAAACCUUACCACAAUUUGAAUAUUUAUAUUAUUUAUUGUUUUUUUAUUAAUUUUCUUCUUUUUAAACAAGAAAAUUAAUAAACAGGCAAUAAGAUAUAUUUACAAGCGUUGCACGGCUGUCUUCAGUUAAUGUCGCGAGAUUUUGGUUAGAUCCAUUAAAUUAACGUAAACCCUUACUUUAUUUUUAGAUAGAGUUGUUCCCCACUAUAUUGGAUUCGAU